CCUACGGGAGGCAGCAGUGAGGAAUAUUGGUCAAUGGGCGCAAGCCUGAACCAGCCAAGUAGCGUGAAGGUUGACUGCCCUACGGGUUGUAAACUUCUUUUAUAAAGGAAUAAAGUGAGGCACGUUUGCCUUUUUGUAUGUCCUUUAUGAAUAAGGAUCGGCUAACUCGGUGCCAGCAGCCGCGGUAAUACGGAGGAGCCGAGGGUUAUCCGGAUUUAUUGGGUUGAAAGGGAGCGUAGAUGGGUUGUUAAGUAGGUUGUGAAAGUUUGCGGCUCAAGCGUAAAAUUGCAAUUGAUACUGGCAGUCUUGAGUACAGAUGAGGUAGGCGGAAUUCGUGGUGUAGCGGUGAAAUGCUUAGAUAUCACGCAGAACUCCGAUUGCGAAGGCAGCUUACUAAACUGCCACUGACAUUGAUGCUCGAAAGUGUGGGUAUCAAACAGGAUUAGAUACCCGUGUAGUC
rnacentral:rRNA from 1 species